rnacentral:rRNA from 1 species
CCUUUGACGUUAGCGGCGGACGGGUGAGUAACACGUGGGUAACCUACCUAUAAGACUGGGAUAACUUCGGGAAACCGGAGCUAAUACCGGAUAACAUUUGGAACCGCAUGGUUCUAAAGUGAAAGAUGGUUUUGCUAUCACUUAUAGAUGGACCCGCGCCGUAUUAGCUAGUUGGUAAGGUAACGGCUUACCAAGGCAACGAUACGUAGCCGACCUGAGAGGGUGAUCGGCCACACUGGAACUGAGACACGGUCCAG